rnacentral:rRNA from 1 species
UACGGGGGGGCAAGCGUUGUUCGGAAUUACUGGGCGUAAAGGGCUCGUAGGCGGCCAACUAAGUCAGACGUGAAAUCCCUCGGCUUAACCGGGGAACUGCGUCUGAUACUGGAUGGCUAGAGGUUGGGAGAGGGAUGCGGAAUUCCAGGUGUAGCGGUGAAAUGCGUAGAUAUCUGGAGGAACACCGGUGGCGAAGGCGGCAUCCUGGACCGGCAUUGACGCUGAGGCGGCGAAAGCCAGGGGAGCAACGGG